rnacentral:rRNA from 1 species
UGUGGUUCAACUGAUUUGAAGAGCUUGCUCAGAUAUGACGAUGGACAUUGCAAAGAGUGGCGAACGGGUGAGUAACACGUGGGAAACCUACCUCUUAGCAGGGGAUAACAUUUGGAAACAGAUGCUAAUACCGUAUAACAAUGACAACCGCAUGGUUGUUAUUUAAAAGAUGGUUCUGCUAUCACUAAGAGAUGGUCCCGCGGUGCAUUAGCUAGUUGGUAAGGUAAUGGCUUACCAAGGCGAUGAUGCAUAGCCGAGUUGAGAGACUGAUCGGCCACAAUGGGACUGAGACACGGCCCAUACUCCUACGGGAGGCAGCAGUAGGGAAUCUUCCACAAUGGGCGAAAGCCUGAUGGAGCAACGCCGCGUGUGUGAUGAAGGGUUUCGGCUCGUAAAACACUGUUGUAAGAGAAGAAUGACAUUGAGAGUAACUGUUCAAUGUGUGACGGUAUCUUACCAGAAAGGAACGGCUAAAUACGUGCCAGCAGCCGCGGU